rnacentral:tRNA from 1 species
GCAGGUGUCGCCUAUCGGUAUGGCGUCAGCUUCCCAAGCUGAUUUUGGCGGGUCCGACUCCCGUCACCUGCUCCA